CCUANGGGGGGCUGCAGUCGGGAAUUUUGGGCAAUGGGCGAAAGCCUGACCCAGCAACGCCGCGUGAGGGAUGAAGGCCUUCGGGUCGUAAACCUCUGUCGGGAGGGAAGAACGUCUUCGGGGUAAAUAAUCCCGGAGGCUGACGGUACCUCCAAAGGAAGCACCGGCUAACUCCGUGCCAGCAGCCGCGGUAAUACGGAGGGUGCGAACGUUAAUCGGAAUCACUGGGCGUAAAGCGCGCGUAGGCGGUUCGUUAAGUGGGAUGUGAAAUCCCCGGGCUUAACCUGGGAAUUGCAUUUCAAACUGGCAGACUAGAGUACGGUAGAGGGAGGUAGAAUUUCCUGUGUAGCGGUGAAAUGCGUAGAUAUAGGAAGGAAUACCAGUGGCGAAGGCGGCCUCCUGGAUCGAUACUGACGCUGAGGCGCGAAAGCGUGGGGAGCAAACAGGAUUAGAUACCCCGNUANUC
rnacentral:rRNA from 1 species